rfam:Streptomyces caeruleatus strain NRRL B-24802 genomic scaffold PRJNA299234_s011, whole genome shotgun sequence.
CGCGUCCGCCCCGUGGACGGCCCGACCCUUCCGUCGCGGUCCCGGCUACGCUGGCGGGGUGCGCCCGCUGUGGAAAGUCACGUAAGGGUGCAAAGCCGACAGCCGUCGCAUUCCAGGGAGCCCUUUCAUG